CCUACGGGCGGCAGCAGUGGGGAAUAUUGGACAAUGGGGGCAACCCUGAUCCAGCCAUGCCGCGUGUGUGAAGAAGGCCCUCGGGUUGUAAAGCACUUUCAGUGAGGAAGAACGCCUGGUGGUUAAUACCCAUCAGGAAAGACAUCACUCACAGAAGAAGCACCGGCUAACUCCGUGCCAGCAGCCGCGGUAAUACGGAGGGUGCGAGCGUUAAUCGGAAUUACUGGGCGUAAAGCGCGCGUAGGUGGCUUGAUAAGCCGGUUGUGAAAGCCCCGGGCUCAACCUGGGAACGGCAUCCGGAACUGUCAAGCUAGAGUGCAGGAGAGGAAGGUAGAAUUCCCGGGGUAGCGGUGAAAUGCGUAGAGAUCGGGAGGAAUACCAGUGGCGAAGGCGGCCUUCUGGACUGACACUGACACUGAGGUGCGAAAGCGUGGGUAGCAAACAGGAUUAGAUACCCUAGUAGUC
rnacentral:rRNA from 1 species